rnacentral:lncRNA from 1 species
UUAUCUACCAAUUUUAAAUAUUUAAAAUGUCUCUAAAUUGAAAUUACUCUGUCCCAGCCCACGGGUAAGUCAACGGAGACCCUAGAGGGGGAGCGAGGAUGAGAGGGGACAGGGGACACGAGAGAUGGAGACAAGACAGGUUUCUGAUCAAGUCUCGUUUAUUGCGGAAGCUGCUACAACAUAUAUACCGUAGGGCGAGAGGGGAGGAGCAAGAGGAGUGUACUGGGGCUACUUCCUUGUUGCCGGGUAGAUCUGCAACAAGCCCGGGCAUGUCCGUAAUAGGCACUCAAGAAUUCCAGCGGGGGGGGGGGGGGGGGGCAAGGCCCCCCACAUUACUCCACAUUAAAUACAUCACUCAAUGCACAUUUCAGUGUUAAGGCAUAUAUGAACAUAAACAAUAUGCAACAUAAUACAAAGGAAGUAGGAGAUUUCAAAAAUGAACCAAUGAGGGCCGGGGAUUUAGCUCAGUGGUUCCGCUGCCUGCCCAGCAAGCACAAGGUCCAGAGUUGGAUCCCCGGGACCAAAAAAAAAACCCCAAAAAACAAACAAAAUUGAACCAAUGAGCCCUUGUUCAGGUAAAAUACAACAGGUACACUCUAUUCUUUCUUCUAUUUAAUACCAAAAAGAAAAAAGAAAAAAGGCCUGAACAGGAAAUAGAGCAGCUAUUUAAAGAAUCUUAAAAUAGAAGGCAUGUUAGUCCAUCUUUCAUUUCUCUAUGAAAAGUCACAGGAGUCUAGGGAUGGAGGUCAGAGCAAAAGGAGAAACCCCCACCCCAGAGCAUCUGAUCCCUCUCCAAUUAAUAACUUUCCCAGCGGUGCCCACAUCCCAAUCACCAAUGCCUUUAAUAACAGGGCAAACGUUUCCACAGCCUCUCCAAGGAACAAGAAAGCGGCUGGCCGGUUGGGCUGGAAGCACGUGGAGGGCAUCCGGUCUCCAGCUUGGCCCUCCAGUAGCAGAUAUGCAAUACCCCAGGUAUGUGCUCCUGUGAACCCAAAAGUUUACCUUUUUCUGGCUGCAUUCAUGAGUGUAAAUGCUGAACAUGAGUUCUAA